rnacentral:tRNA from 1 species
UUAAAUCCCUCCUAUACUA